UACAGAGGGUGCGAGCGUUAAUCGGAAUUACUGGGCGUAAAGCGUGCGUAGACGGCUAUCUAAGUCGGGUGUGAAAGCCCCGGGCUCAACCUGGGAAUUGCAUUCGAGACUGAAUAGCUAGGGUGCGGUAGAGGGAAGCGGAAUUUCCGGUGUAGCGGUGAAAUGCGUAGAUAUCGGAAGGAACAUCAGUGGCGAAAGCGGCUUCCUGGACCAGCACCGA
rnacentral:rRNA from 1 species